UCGACUUUUCUCCUAGUCAAACUUGUUUAGGUUUGACCAAGUUUUUUUAAAAAAUAUAGCAGCAUUUUCAACACAAAACAAACAUACUAUCAAAAUAUAUUCAAUGCUACAUUUAAUGAAACUAAUUUCGUGUUGGAUAUGUUGCUAAAUUUUUGUAUAAACUUGGUCAAACUAAAGAAGUUUGACUGGAAAAAAACUAGA
rfam:Oryza sativa (indica cultivar-group) chromosome 2, whole genome shotgun sequence.